rnacentral:rRNA from 1 species
GAUGAACGCUGGCGGCGUGCCUAAUACAUGCAAGUCGAGCGAACGGACGAGAAGCUUGCUUUUCUGAUGUUAGCGGCGGACGGGUGAGUAACACGUGUAUAACCUACCUAUAAGACUGGGAUAACUUCGGGAAACCGGAGCUAAUACCGGAUAAUAUUUUGAACCGCAUGGUUCAAAAGUGAAAGACGGUCUUGCUGUCACUUAUAGAUGGAUCGGCGCUGCAUUAGCUAGUUGGUAAGGUAACGGCUUACCAAGGCAACGAUGCAUAGCCGACCUGAGAGGGUGAUCGGCGACACUGGAACUGAGACACGGUCCAGACGCCUACGGGAGGCAGCAGUAGGGAAUCUUACGCAGUGGGCGAAAGCAUGACGGAGCAACGCCGCGUGAGAGAUGAAGGUGUUCGGAUCGUAAAACUCUGUUAUUAGGGAAGAACAUAUGUGUAAUUAACUGUGCACAUCUUGACGGUACCUAGUAAGAAAGCAACGGCUAACUACGUG